GACGAACCGAGCGAACGUUGUUCGGAAUCACUGGGCUUAAAGGGCGCGUAGGCGGGCUGUCAAGUCUGGGGUGAAAUCCCGCGGCUCAACCGCGGAACUGCCUCAGAUACUGACGGUCUCGAGGGGGGUAGGGGCGAGCGGAACUGAUGGUGGAGCGGUGAAAUGCGUAGAUAUCCGGAGGAACACCGGUGGCGAAGGCGGCUUCCUGGACCGACACUGACGCUGAGGCGCGAAAGCUAGGGGAGCAAACGGG
rnacentral:rRNA from 1 species